rnacentral:rRNA from 1 species
UACAGAGGUGGCAAGCGUUUGUUCGGAAUUACUGGGCGUAAAAGGGCGCGUAGGCGGCCUACUAAGUCAGACGUGAAAUCCCCCGGCUUAACCUGGGAACUGCGUCUGAUACUGGAAGGCUUGAGGAUGGGAGAGGGAUGUAGAAUUCCAGGUGUAGCGGUGAAAUGCGUAGAUAUCUGGAGGAAUACCGGUGGCGAAGGCGGCAUCCUGGACCAUUACUGACGCUGAGGCGCGAAAGCUAGGGGAGCAAACGGGG